UUACGGCCACAUCACGUUGAAACACCGGUUCCCGUACGAUCAUAGAAGUUAAGCAACGUCGAGCCUGGUCAGUACCUAGAUGGGUGACUGCAUGGGAAUACCAGGUGCUGUAAG